rnacentral:rRNA from 1 species
UACGAAGGGGGGCUAGCGUUGUUCGGAAUUACUGGGCGUAAAGCGUGCGCAGGCGGCUGCUCAAGUCAGGGGUGAAAGCCCAGAGCUCAACUCUGGAAUUGCCUUUGAGACUGAGUGGCUUGAGUACGGGAGAGGUGAGUGGAAUUCCCAGUGUAGAGGUGAAAUUCGUAGAUAUCGGGAGGAACACCUGUGGCGAAAGCGGCUCACUGGACCACAACUGACGCUGAGGCGCGAAAGCUAGGGGAGCAACCAGG